rnacentral:rRNA from 1 species
GAAAUGCGAUACGUAAUGCGAAUUGCAAGACCUCGUGAAUCAUUAAGAUUUUGAACGCACAUUGCGCUUUCGGGAUUUUCCCGGUAGCAUGCUUGUCUGAGUGUCUGUGGACCCCCCUCAGCGCUGGUUUAUUUUAUAAGCUAGCAGCUGGUUGCUUUGGCUUUGACCACACCUAGUGAUGGUCUUUGCUUAAAUUCUACAACACGUACGUGCAUAGAUUUGGAAAAAGUCUUGGGCUGUCUGAAAGACGGCGCUGACAUUCUCAUCUAUCUCUGGUAGCUUAAUUGUCUAUUUUGAGUUCUUGUGAGUUUGUUGGCUAGCUGUUUGGAAGAACGUGACCACUACUGCUUCUUUGUCUAGCUUGCAGCUUUUCGGAGCCUGCUUGCUAUCCAAUUCCGGAUCUCAGAUCAAGCAAGAUGACCCGCCGAAUUUAAGCAUAUAAUUAAGCGGAGGAAAAGAAACUAACUAGGAUUCCCUC